rnacentral:rRNA from 1 species
UACAGAGGGUGCGAGCGUUAAUCGGAAUUACUGGGCGUAAAGGGCUCGUAGGCGGCCAACUAAGUCAGACGUGAAAUCCCCAGGCUCAACCUGGGAACUGCGUCUGAUACUGGAUGGCUUGAAUCCGGGAGAGGGAUGCAGAAUUCCAGGUGUAGCGGUGAAAUGCGUAGAUAUCUGGAGGAAUACCGGUGGCGAAGGCGACUCACUGGACACAUAUUGACGCUGAGGUGCGAAAGCGUGGGGAGCAAACAGG